AAAAAAAGUGCAGCCUUUCCUCCUGUAUGAGAGUCUGUUAGGGUGGAAGUAAACUCAGAAGUCACCUUCAACCACUAGGGGGUUUUAUGGCACAGGUCCCUGGCCUUGCACAGAUCACAGAGUGAGUUAGUAAUAAGUAUUUCCAGAUUUUUUUUUCAUGGUGACUCUAAAGUUGUGACAUGCUUGAUCUAAAAUCUUUGAAUCAUAGAAGCAUGGACUUAGAUGAGACCUGCGACAUCACCUCACGGCAUUCCAUAUACCCGCUCCCUGCAAGCAGCGAUGGGCAGAGCAGAAGCGUUGCCAGCCUUGGAGACCCCCACACUUGCGUUCAGUCUUUACUCUGGGAAGUCUCUGAGCCUCAGUUUUCUCAUCCAUAUAGCAUCAAUUUACUUCACAGAGUUCAUGCAAGAAUUAAACAAAAUGGUGUACGUCAGAGACUGCAAACUCAAGUGCCUUCGGGACCAAGUAGGUCAGUGGACACUGGCAAACCAGACUUACAAGCCCUUUU
rnacentral:lncRNA from 1 species